AUUUUAAAAAUAUACCGGAAAUAUACUGACGGAUUCAAGUACAAAUGGUACAAUUACACAGCAUUGCAGUUGAACUGGAACUGGCUAUCGAUUCAUCGUGCAACAGCGCGAAACUGUGGGAUUGACUUAUCGAAUUUAAAAAAGCUAUUCAAUUAGGUGUGCCCCCUGAGAUGCGACCCCAUUCAGAAUAACUCUUCAACGCUGUCAUCAAUCAACGGCUAACCCCAUGGAGUGUCUGUGUAAUCUCCGUAUAGGGCAAAGAAUGAGUCCACGUCGCUCCUCUGCUUAUCAAUUCAAUUGAAAUUGUUAUUAAUAACAAUAAGCAUGCUUUAUAUUGCAGCACGCCCCUCCGCCAUGGGGGAUGAGUAAGCACCCAGAGGAGCAGCUCAGCGCAGCUCAGGGUUCGAGUUUCCAGCUGCUAUCAUCUGUCUGGAUGCCUGGAUUGAGUGGAGUAUAUGCAAAUAAAUGCGACACGACACGAUCAUGUUGUUUACGAUCAUUAAAAACGUAUCAAAUAAUUUAUUCUGCUUAUUAAUUUGUUUAAUAAAUAUACAAUAUAUAAAACUGCUGGUUAGUCCACACACAAUAAACUGUACGAAGAGUAGUAGUAAAAAAAAAAGGCUGAUUGUGGGGCUAUAUCACCCCACUUUGGACUAAAGUUGUAGCUUUAACAUGCUGCUUGGGGGCUGUGGGACUGUUAGAAAUACAUACACAGAACACAGUACACAGAACAUUGACUUGGAGUUGGUUAAGAUUGCUUCUGGCAAAAGGCACAACAUUGUUAUCAUCAGUGUAGGUCGUUAUUAGUCUAGGUAUUUGCUGCUCUAUCUUCGUUUCCAUUUUUCCAUUAACAUUUACACAUACACACACGAACUCUUUAAA